AUUGAACGCUGGCGGCAGGCCUAACACAUGCAAGUCGAACGAGUGGCGGACGGGUGAGUAAUGUCUGGGAAACUGCCUGAUGGAGGGGGAUAACUACUGGAAACGGUAGCUAAUACCGCAUACCAUCAGAUGUGCCCCGAUGGGAUUAGCUAGUUGGGGGGGUAACGGGUCACCUGGGCGACGAUCCCUCGCUGGUCUGAGAGGAUGACCAGACACACGGGAACUGAGACACGGUCCAGACUCCUACGGAAGGCAGCAGUGGGGAAUAUUGCACAAGGGGCGCAAGCCUGAUGCAGCCAUGCCGCGUGUAUGAAGAAGGCCUUCGGGUUGUAAAGUACUUUCAGCGGGGAGGCGUUACCCGAAGAAGAAGCACCGGCUAACUCCGUGCCAGCAGCCGCGGUAAUUC
rnacentral:rRNA from 1 species